UGUGUGUGUGUGUGUGUGUCUGUGUGUGUAUGUCUGUGUGUGUGUCUGUGUGUGUGUGUGUGUGUGUGUGUGUGUGUGUGUGUGUGUGUGUGUGUGUGUGUGUGUGUGUGUGUGUGUGUGUGUGUGUGUGUAUGUGUGUAUGUGUGUGUGUCUGUGUAUGUGUGUGUGUGUGUGUGUCUGUGUGUGUGUGUGUGUGUCUGUGUGUGUGUGUGUGUGUCUGUGUGUCUGUCUGUGUGUGUGUGUCUCUGUGUGUGUGUGUGUGUGUGUGUGUGUGUGUCUGUGUGUGUGUGUCUGUGUGUGUGUGUGUCUGUGCGUGCAUGUGUGUGCGAUUGUGAUUGAUGGGCCCGUGGGGCUGUUGGAUUGUGUGUUAAUGGUUAUUGUGUUACCUCUGUGUGUGCGCGUGUUGUGUUACUGGUUGUUGGUUAUAUUUCACUCUGCAGAGCCUGUAAACAAAACCAAAUUAAAGAACAUUUACUUUAUGAAGUUCACGCGUUCAUCCAUCAUCCCGCUUCCAGCUGCGUAUCCGGGUCAGGGUCGCCGUGGCAACAGAGAGCGCUUUUGGCAUAAACCGGUUUUGCAUCUGGAAGCUUUUCUCCUGGUUCUCCCAGAGAAAGCAGAAAAGCCUCAUCAUUUGACACCAUUUAACGCGGGAGUGCGUUUGGUGCUGACGGUGGAAUGAAGGCGAGGUCACAGAGGAUCAUCCUCUGGGGAGCCUUUCAAUGCAAAUCUCCACUGUGCCCCAAAACACAGAAAAAUACCCUCAAAGGAUUUGAUGGAGCUGGAGAAGCUUUAGCUGCAGUUACUCGUGUUCUGCUCUAAAGGCAAUUGGAGGACUGAUUUGUUGGCGUUCCAUGAACACACAAUAGCAUUAAUAUUCUACAACGAAGAAGCCUCAUUUUAGCUCAGUAGUCGAUCUAACUUUGUGUUUCUGUCCGGAAUGAACUCUUAGUUGGUUGAUUGGUCGGCGGCAGGCGACGCUCACGCUGGUCACGGGGCGUAAAUACCGUAGCAUCCGUGUUGUUUUGUACGCUAUCGAUACGCGUUGAUUCAUUCGUGUGUCCUUCGGUGUCUUUGCGUUGACUUUUCAUCUGAUGUCAUCGUGCGGUUCAGAAUAGUCAGAAUAGUUAAAACACUUUAGCCGAUUCACCUCUCGCGUUGUGUUUCCCCCGUGAGUGCUGUUGAUGCGCCGUGCGCUGUCAGCUGUUAAUAGCUGGUGUGCGUUGUGAGAUGGAUGGUGUGUGUUUCCUCUGAAAGCUCACAGAUAAGGAGCGUUUUUUUUCUUUAAAGCACAUUUGUUUUCUGCGGAGGGAAAAAUCGGCCAUUAAUGCAGAUUUAUGCAGAUUGGCUGGAUGGAAGUCGUUUGGGCAAAAAGCGCCGCUGAGGGUCGAGCAGUGAUUACUAAUGGGGUUCAUAGCUGCACAGAGAAAGGGCUGCGGCCAGCCAGUGAGUGUGUGUGUGUGAGUGUGUGUGUGUGUGUGUCUCUCGGGCUGCUUUCCAGCUGUUGAAACAACCUUUUGUAAAUCUUUGCAGGAGCCUCGGCCCGUUCGGCCCGUUCUGUUGGUUCCCUGCUGCUCAUUUAUUCAUGUGGGUUUUAUGGCUGAGCUCGUGUCUCCCGUUCUCUUCCUCCUCUGUGGCUUCUCGCUUCCUCUGUCAGGGAAACACGUCGGGAGUCAGACGCAAUGCUGCUUCCUCCGCAGGAAUGAAACCGGGAGGCACGGAGCUCCUUCGCUACACCCUUUCUCACCCUCGUAGGAGGCGCGGUGGCGGCGGUUCCACGGCUUCCUGCUUUCAAAAGAGAGUUCAGUUAGCCUGAGUGAAAGAGCGCCGACCGACAAUCAAUGUCACAACCGAGGGUUCCUCGUGACGGGACGGCAAAUGUCUCCGUUGGCUUUGUUUGGCUCACUCGUGCCGACCGUCGGAGACGCGUCAGUACGAGCCGGUGGACCAGUUGGAGGUGAAAAACGGCCGCGUCGUCACACAAAAAUUCUGUUUCACCAGGACACCAAACGUCUGACGUUGAUCAGACUCGGCUGCAUGUCGACAGUGUCCGCAUGCCACGCAGUAACCCUAAUGCCUCCGUCCAACGGGGCAAAAUGGACGACACACACACACGCGGUCAAACGUUUCUUUGAACGUGGACAUUAGUGACGACUGAUCUGAUGACCAUAUGGAUGUCAAACACUGUUCCUUUAAAUGUGCAGAGCGGCUUUAUCUGAUCGAGACGCUUCACAUUGCUGACUGGAAAGGACUGUAGCCGUUUGAUGCAAACACACUGGCCCGUGUGUGUGUGUGUGUGUGUGUGUGUGUGAUUAUUAGCUGUGUAUCUUGUAAUUUCCAGAGGAACUGAUUCAGACACCUGCAGCAUUUUCAAGCCGCUGGUAAUUAGUGGAUGUUGAGACACAGAGAAUUAUCUGCUUCAAAGUCAUUCACAAGGCUGAUAACUGCUGAGUGUGUGUGUGUGUGUGUGUGUGUGUGUGUGUGUGUGUGUGUGUGUGUGUGUGUGUGUGCGUGUGUGCUGUCAGUCAGCUGAAUUGGCUCGAUUAAGCUGCAGAUUAUCAGGAUUUUCUAAUUAUUAGAGAGUAAUUAAGACUGAGCUGAGGAUUAUCACACUUAAACAUGAACAUUUUGAAACACUGAAGGAGCACUUUCAGAUACGGACACAUUAGUAUGCUGAAAUAGUAAAACAAUGAAUCAAUACAGUGAAACAAAGAGUUCAUCCCUGUUUGGUGAAUUCUGAACACUGGCGGAGUCACAAUGGGAAGGAUGAGGUCACGGAAACGUUAUAAUGGUGGAGUUGAUGGGAUUCAAAUUGAGAAUUUGGAAUAUUUAAAAAAAGUAUCUCUCCGUAGAUGGAAAGAGAGGGAAUAAAGAGGCACCAUAAAGGACUAAAAGAGGAAACGAGGUGUUCAAAACAUGCCAAUGUUUUCAAAAUGGCAACAAAAGGACGGACCAACAUGAGAUAACGAAAUAAACAGAAUUGAGGAAAUGAAUUAUUCAGAAGGGCACGAGAGGAAAUUAGAAAUUCAAAAAUGGCACAACAUAGGAUUCAAAUUGCAACAAGCAGGGAUUCAAACGGCACAAUUAUAGAUUUAAAAUGUGUUCAUUUGUUCAAAUGAGGGACUAAAGUAGUUGGCUGGUUGCUGACUUCAGACUCAUGACAUAUUUCCCUUAUGGAGGGAAUCACUAAGCCUGGGAUCCACAACGGACAUCCGAUCGUUGGGUAUCAAUCCGUCUGUGCUUCACGCUGGUGUUUCAUGUAUAAUUGAAACGUUUCUGCGCAGGGAACCGGCCUCCGCAGGCCGGGGGUCACCGCCGCAGCCCCGCCCCCUCAUUAAUGCAGCCGACGGGAGGAGGUGUCGGGGGGGUAAUGGGGAAGCGGAUGAUUAGCACGGAGGCUCUCCACACUAAUUGGACUUUUUUUUGUCAGAGGCUGAUGUUUAUUGUUCAGCAG
ensembl:lncRNA